GCCCUUACGACCAGGGCUACACACGUGCUACAAUGGCAUAUACAAAGAGAAGCGACCUCGCGAGAGCAAGCGGACCUCAUAAAGUAUGUCGUAGUCCGGAUUGGAGUCUGCAACUCGACUCCAUGAAGUCGGAAUCGCUAGUAAUCGUAGAUCAGAAUGCUACGGUGAAUACGUUCCCGGGCCUUGUACACACCGCCCGUCACACCAUGGGAGUGGGUUGCAAAAGAAGUAGGUAGCUUAACCUUCGGGAGGGCGCUUACCACUUUGUGAUUCAUGACUGGGGUGAAGUCGUAACAAGGUAACCGUAGGGGAACCUGCGGUUGGAUCACCUCCUU
rnacentral:rRNA from 1 species